GUAGUCUCGCACAGAUGCAUAUCAAUAAGCGGAGGAAAAGAAACUAACAAGGAUUCCCCUAGUAACGGCGAGUGAAGCGGGAAGAGCUCAAAUUUGAAAUCUUAAAGGGUUUCCCUUUACGAAUUGUAGUUUAAAGAAGUGUUUUCUGCUGAGGUUUUGGUAAAAGUUCUUUGGAAUAGGACAUCAUAGAGGGUGAGAAUCCCGUAUUUGACCUUUACUUUCAACUUUGUGAUACACUUUCAAAGAGUCGGAUUGUUUGGGAAUGCAGUCCAAAAUGGGUGGUAAAUUUCAUCUAAAGCUAAAUAUUGGCGAGAGACCGAUAGCGAACAAGUACCGUGAGGGAAAGAUGAAAAGAACUUUGAAAAGAGAGUUAAACAGUACGUGAAAUUGUCAAAAGGGAAGCGUUUGACACCAGUGUUGUUUUUCUGAAAAUCAAUUAAAGAACUGUUUAUGCUAAGCUGUUUAGACUUUAUCAGCUAUCUGUUUAGUUUUGAGCUUUUCUUUAAUGCACUUUUCAGUUAACAAGUCAACAUCAAUUUCUUUUGCUGUAAAAAAGCUUGAGGAAGGUGGCUUGAGAUUCGUCUUAAGUGUUUAUAGCCUCUUGCCUAUGCAGUCGGAGAGAUUGAGGUCUGCAGCGUAGAUCCUUCGGGGCUAAAUGCAUUUGUGCUAAGUUAUAGCAUUUUAUAGACAACUUGUUGACUAUGAUUUGUCUUGUAGCAUUACUCGCUUAUGUUAUUUUACCUACGCUUAGGAUGUUGACAGCAGUAUAGACUGU
rnacentral:rRNA from 1 species